rnacentral:rRNA from 1 species
UACGUAGGUAGCAAGCGUUGUCCGGAAUCAUUGGGCGUAAAGCGCGCGUAGGUGGCUUCGUAAGUCCGUUGUGAAAGUCAAAGGCUCAACCUUUGAAAGCCGAUGGAUACUGCGGAGCUAGAGUACGGAAGAGGCGAGUGGAAUUCCUGGUGUAGCGGUGGAAUGCGCAGAUAUCAGGAGGAACACCAAUAGCGAAGGCAGCUCGCUGGGACGUUACUGACACUGAGGCGCGAAAGCGUGGGGAGCAAACAGG